CCUACGGGUGGCUGCAGUGGGGAAUAUUGGACAAUGGGCGAAAGCCUGAUCCAGCCAUGCCGCGUGUGUGAAGAAGGCCUUCGGGUUGUAAAGCACUUUCAGUGGGGAAGAAAGCCUUGGGGCUAAUACCCUCGAGGAAGGACAUCACCCACAGAAGAAGCACCGGCUAACUCCGUGCCAGCAGCCGCGGUAAUACGGAGGGUGCGAGCGUUAAUCGGAAUUACUGGGCGUAAAGCGCGCGUAGGCGGUCUGAUAAGCCGGUUGUGAAAGCCCCGGGCUCAACCUGGGAACGGCAUCCGGAACUGGCAGGCUAGAGUGCAGGAGAGGAAGGUAGAAUUCCCGGUGUAGCGGUGAAAUGCGUAGAGAUCGGGAGGAAUACCAGUGGCGAAGGCGGCCUUCUGGACUGACACUGACGCUGAGGUGCGAAAGCGUGGGUAGCAAACAGGAUUAGAUACCCCGGUAGUC
rnacentral:rRNA from 1 species